AACGCACGAGACCUGCGGACCUGCGGAGGGAUCAUUAUAGAGUUUUCUAAACUCCCAACCCAUGUGAACUUACCUUUUGUUGCCUCGGCAGAAGUUAUAGGUCUUCUUAUAGCUGCUGCCGGUGGACCAUUAAACUCUUGUUAUUUUAUGUAAUCUGAGCGUCUUAUUUUAAUAAGUCAAAACUUUUAACAAUGGAUCUCU
rnacentral:misc_RNA from 1 species